AUAAUAAUAAGAUUCAUUCACCGCCAAAACUGGCUGAAUCUUUUGAGUUCGUACAUAAUUUUUUAUACAUUUGUUGGUGGGAAAAAGGUAUGAAUCAAUGAUACACAUUUGGUAUACAAGUCAUUUAUAUACGAUUCAUUUAUUCAAAAUGGCGUCUUAUUUGUCGAAUAAAUUAAAUGGAUUUCUUUAAACUUCAUUUUGAUCAUAUGAGUGAUGACAACCUCACUUUCAUCAUACCCGUGUGUCAAUUUUUCAACUGCAAUCAAUACCAAAAGCAAAAAGUUUGACAGAAGUAAUAAACACUUUGUUGGUUGCCUAUUAGACAGAACUGCAAAAAAUCUUAGGUUUUAAAAUGUUGCAAUGCUUGUGAGUGUGCGUGCACCCUGGAAUAUUACCAAAUAAAAAUAUUUAUUAAUAUAAGAAGUGCAAGAAAAAAUAUUUUAACUUUGAUUAUUUUUCGAUUACACAACUACAAAUUAUACAAUAUAUUAUUAUUAAUUGUAUAUGUAGUCAAUAUUGCCGCUGUUUUGCCAUUCGCCGCUCUUUUAUAUGUGAAGUAAACAAAGCAUUAACGUAUACAUUGAUAAAAAUAAUUUCAGUUAUUAGAAAUCUGUUAUUGCAAAUAGUUUACGAAAGAACAAGAAAAAUGUACGAUAUCGUAUAAAUCAACUGAUGACUAUUAUUAUUUUAUUUAUUAUUGAUAUAGUGUCGCCUGUCAGCAAGACUAUCAACUAUUUAGACUAAAUACCGAGCAACCAAAGUUUUUGGUAAAAACAAAUUAAAUUGACUUGAUUGACAAUUGAAAUAUAAAAAAAGUUCGAAUUAAUAAAUACUCGAAAGUAUGAGAAAUUGAAUUUGGACAAACAAA